UACGGGGGGGGCAAGCGGUGUUCGGAAUUACUGGGCGUAAAGGGCUCGUAGGCGGCCAACUAAGUCAGACGUGAAAUCCCUCGGCUUAACCGGGGAACUGCGUCUGAUACUGGAUGGCUUGAGGUUGGGAGAGGGAUGCGGAAUUCCAGGUGUAGCGGUGAAAUGCGUAGAUAUCUGGAGGAACACCGGUGGCGAAGGCGGCAUCCUGGGCCAAUUCUGACGCUGAGUGAGCGAAAGCCAGGGGAGCAAACGGG
rnacentral:rRNA from 1 species